AGAAAAAGAUGUUUAAGAUGAAACGGAUAGAAGGAUAGAUUGAUAGAUAUCACAGAAUCACAAACCAGAAGAGGAGUGGAUUGGAAGUGUGUUGUAAGUAGAGUGAAAUUAAUGGAUGAAAUGGAUGAGCUGAGCGGGGUGGAGGUUAAUCUAGAGAAUAACAGGAGCUAUGAGAAUUAUAU